rnacentral:lncRNA from 1 species
GUAAAGAAAUAUUUUUCUUUGGGCCUUAGGCCCCAAUUUUUCACCUGUCCUAAAUUCUAACAAAAUAAUAAACAUAUUGACUAAAUAGGCUUAGGCCCAAUAAUAACAAAAUACAAUUUUUGGAAUUUUGGAGGCCUUUGGGCCCACUUCUUGACUUUCGUAUACACUAGGUGUAUACAAUCCCGAAUCCGCUCCAAUUCCUGUUCGUC